GCUUGAGGCAGUUCUGCUGGAGGCAGUGCCCAUCUAGCUCACCAGCACCUAGAGGCAGUGAUCUCCAGCCUCCUCAGCAAACGUCUACCGAUGGAAAGUGACACCACUGAGCUGUGGAAUCUCUGGGGGAGACCCUUGCUUGCCAUCAAGUCCUACAGUCUAAUAAGAAAAAUAAAGACUUCAACAAGCCAAGAAGGAAGCAUCACCUCAGACACUGAAACUGACAGGCAUUUGGCAGCUGCUGAACUCUCUCAGCAACAUGUGGCCAUCUUUAGGUGUAUCCAGCACU